rnacentral:rRNA from 1 species
CAGCCGCCGCGGUAGUACGUAGGUGGCAAGCGUUGUCCGGAAUUAUUGGGCGUAAAGGGCUCGCAAGCGGUUUCUUAAGUCUGAUGUGAAAGCCCCCGGCUCAACCGGGGAGGGUCAUUGGAAACUGGGAAACUUGAGUGCAGAAGAGGAGAGUGGAAUUCCACGUGUAGCGGUGAAAUGCGUAGAGAUGUGGAGGAACACCAGUGGCGAAGGCGACUCUCUGGUCUGUAACUGACGCUGAGGAGCGAAAGCGUGGGGAGCGAACAGGAUUAGAUACCCGGGUAGUCCCUGUCUCUUAUAC